AGCGAACGCUGGCGGCAGGCCUAACACAUGCAAGUCGAACGAACUCUUCGGAGUUAGUGGCGGACGGGUGAGUAACACGUGGGAACGUGCCUUUAGGUUCGGAAUAACUCAGGGAAACUUGUGCUAAUACCGAAUGUGCCCUUCGGGGGAAAGAUUUAUCGCCUUUAGAGCGGCCCGCGUCUGAUUAGCUAGUUGGUGAGGUAAAGGCUCACCAAGGCGACGAUCAGUAGCUGGUCUGAGAGGAUGAUCAGCCACAUUGGGACUGAGACACGGCCCAAACUCCUACAGGAGGCAGCAGUGGGGAAUUUUGCGCAAUGGGCGAAAGCCUGACGCAGCCAUGCCGCGUGAAUGAUGAAGGUCUUAGGAUUGUAAAAUUCUUUCACCGGGGACGAUAAUGACGGUACCCGGAGAAGAAGCCCCGGCUAACUUCGUGCCAGCAGCCGCGGUAAGAC
rnacentral:rRNA from 1 species